rnacentral:rRNA from 1 species
UACGUAGGGUGCGAGCGUUAAUCGGAAUUACUGGGCGUAAAGCGUGCGCAGGCGGCUUCGCACGUCAGACGUGAAAUCCCCGGGCUUAACCUGGGAAUGGCGUUUGAAACUACGGAGCUGGAGUAUGGCAGAGGGGGGUGGAAUUCCACGUGUAGCGGUGAAAUGCGUAGAUAUCAGGAGGAACACCGAUGGCGAAGGCAGGUCUCUGGGCUGACACUGACGCUCAUGCACGAAAGCGUGGGGAGCAAACAGG